rnacentral:rRNA from 1 species
AUGAACGCUGGCGGCGUGCCUAAUACAUGCAAGUCGAGCGAACAGAUAAGGAGCUUGCUCCUUUGACGUUAGCGGCGGACGGGUGAGUAACACGUGGGUAACCUACCUAUAAGACUGGGAUAACUUCGGGAAACCGGAGCUAAUACCGGAUAACAUUUGGAACCGCAUGGUUCUAAAGUGAAAGAUGGUUUUGCUAUCACUUAUAGAUGGACCCGCGCCGUAUUAGCUAGUUGGUAAGGUAACGGCUUACCAAGGCAACGAUACGUAGCCGACCUGAGAGGGUGAUCGGCCACACUGGAACUGAGACACGGUCCAGACUCCUACGGGAGGCAGCAGUAGGGAAUCUCCCGCAAUGGGCGAAAGCCUGACGGAGCAACGCCGCGUGAGUGAUGAAGGGUUUCGGCUCGUAAAACUCUGUUAUUAGGGAAGAACAAACGUGUAAGUAACUGUGCACGUCUUGACGGUACCUAAUCAGAAAGCCACGGCUAACUACGUG